AUUGAACGCUGGCGGCAUGCCUUACACAUGCAAGUCGAACGGCAGCGCGGGGCAACCUGGCGGCGAGUGGCGAACGGGUGAGUAAUAUAUCGGAACAUACCCUAGAGUGGGGAUAACGUAGCGAAAGUUACGCUAAUACCGCAUACGCACUAAGGUGGAAAGUGGGGGAUCUUCGGACCUCAUGCUCAUGGAGUGGCCGAUAUCUGAUUAGCUAGUUGGUGAGGUAAAGGCUCACCAAGGCGACGAUCAGUAACUGGUCUGAGAGGAUGUUUGAGAGAACGACCAGCCACACUGGAACUGAGACACGGUCCAGACUCCUACGGGAGGCAGCAGUGGGGAAUUUUGGACAAUGGGGGGCAACCCUGAUCCAGCAAUGCCGCGUGAGUGAAGAAGGCC
rnacentral:rRNA from 1 species